GUGUGACAGUGAUAAUACACGGUGUGACAGUGAUAAUACACGGUGUGACAGUGAUAAUACACAGUGUGACUGUGAUAAUACACAGUCUAUCAGUUUUAAUACACAGUCUGACAGUGAUAAUACACAGUCUAUCAGUGAUAAUACACAGUCUGACAGUGAUAAUACACAGUGUAACAGUGAUAAUACACAGUCUAUCAGUUUUAAUACACAGUCUGACAGUGAUAAUACACAGUCUAUCAGUGAUAAUACACAGUUUAUCAGUUAUA